rnacentral:rRNA from 1 species
GAGUAUAUGGUGGAUGCCUUGGUUCAAUAAAGCGAUGAAGGACGUGGUCAGACUGCGAUAAGCUUCGGUUAGAUGUCUAACAAUCUUACCCGGAGAUGUCCGAAUGAGGAAACUCUCACAGAGUAAUAUCUGUGAAUCCGAGGGAGAAGUCCCCGGAAGCAUACCCGUUGAAUUGAAACAUCUUAGUAAACGGUGGAAAAGAAACUAAAUUAGUAUUCCGCAAGUAGCGGCGAGCGAAAACGGAGAAGCCCAAACCAUUGUGCUUGCAUAAUGGGGUUGUAGGGUAGAAUCGUAGCAAUAGAUGAGUAAAAAAAUAUAAAUAUAGAUUAAGCUUUUGGAAAGAAGCCUCAUAGAGGGUGAUAGGCCCGUAAUCGAAAUAUUUAUGUCUCAUUUGAUUCUAUUCCUGAGUAUCUCAAGACACGAAUAGCUUGGGAGAAUCCAGCAGAACUAACUGCUAAGGCUAAAUAUUUAUUGAGACCGAUAGUGAACAAGUACCGCGAGGGAAAGGUGAAAAGAACCCCGGGAGGGGAGUGAAAUAGAACUGAAACCAUAUAUUUACAAAGAGUAGGAGAGGGUGAUUCAAUAAAAUGAAUACUGCCUCGACUGCGUGCCUAUUGAAGAAUGAGCAAGCGAGUCAAUAUAUAUAGCUGGCUAAGCGGAAUAAAGCCGUGGAGCCUAAGGGAAACCGAGUGUUAAUAGCGCGACAAUUAUAGUUGUAUGUAUUGGACCCGAAACCAGAUGAGCUACCCAUGGGCAGGGUGAAGUAUCUCGAAAGAGAUAUGGAGGCCCGAACCGGUAGGUUGUACGACUCCUUCGGAUGACCUGUGGGUUGGAGUGAAAAGCUAAUCGAAUCUGGAAAUAGCUGGUUCUCGUCGAAAUAGUUUUUGGACUAGCGUUGGAUGCUUAUGUGUGGAGGUAAAGCACUGGAAGGUUUUGACUAGUAGAAAUACGGCAAAACCUAUCAAACUCUGAAUGCCACACAAUGAAGUCCAGCAGUAAGACCACGGGGGCGAAGCUCCGUUGGUCAAAAGGGAAAGAGCCCUGAUCGCCAGUUAAGGCCCCAAAGUAUAUGCUAAGUGUGAGCGAGGAGGUGGAGUUUCAUUGACAAUGAGGAUGUUGGCUUAGAAGCAGCCACCAUUGAAAGAAAUCGUAACAGAUCACCCAUCGAGAGACUCUGCGCCACAAAUAAUCGGGACUAAGCAUAUCGCCGAAACUGCGGGAUUAUGACAAUCAUGAAGUGUGUAAUAUUUUAUAUAGUAAUAUAUAAUUAAUUGUAUGCUUCAUGAUCGUCAUAAUCGGUAGACGAGUGUUCUAAUCUGCGUUGAAGGUAAAGGGGUGACCCAUACUGGAGUGAUUAGAAGUACGAAUGCUUGCACAAGUAACCGCAAGGAGGGUGAGACCCCCUCCCGCCGAAAGACUAAGGUUUCCCACACAACGGUGUUCGAUGUGGGGUUAGUCGGGCCUAAGCUGAUGGAUAACUCCGAAAGCGAUGGACAUACUGUUAAUAUUCAGUAACUCGGUAAAAUUCUGAUGGACUGACACAUUGUUGUACUUAUUGCCCCUUAAAUGGAUUGGGGUAGGGUUAGUGAGUGGGUGAUAUAGGCAAAUCCGUAUCACAUUACCGCGAGCUAAUACUCGAUGCUUGUAGCAAUACAAGAUAAGAAUAGGGAGCACGAUGUCAAGAAAAGGUUCUACAUCCUGUGAAUACAGGACAUAUCUAUUAGCACACCUUAAUGUGUUAAUAGAUGUGGGUUAAAAUUUUAUUGAUCCGUACCGCAAACCGACACAGGUAGUCAAGUCGAGAAGACUAAGGCGAACGAGUGAUUUCUCCCCAAGGAACUAGGCAAAAAAGCAGCCGUAAGUUAGCGAUAAGGCUUGCCUUCACCACUUUGUAUUGAAGUAUAAGGUGUGAUAACCUAGAGAAUUAUUAUGAGACUCGUCUAUAAUCAUGAGCUAUGAUUAUAGACACAAAAACAAACAGAAAAAUAAACAGCAUAAUCUAUUAUAUGGAUUAUCUAUAAUAUUUCUCUACGACUACAACACUUAUUAUUUGUUAAUUUGAAUAUAAAGUGGUGGAGGCCGCAGCGAAAGUAUCCCUGCCAACUGUUUAUCAAAGACACAGCUCCAUGCGAACUCGUAAGAGGAUGUAUAUGGGGUGACGCCUGACCAAUGCGGGAAGGUCAAAUAUCGGUGGUCACACUUUGUAUUGAUAUAAAGUAUGACUAUUGAAUUUUGGUUUUUUAUUUAGAGAAUAUCUUUUUAAGAGAUCAAAAUCCAAUAGUCAUAAAUAUAAAUAUAAAGUGUGGCUGGCUGAUAUAAGCCCCCGUCAAUGUCGGCCGUAACUAUAACGGUAGAUUUGCUAUGCUUUUAUUUUAUAAUAAAAGAAAUAAAUAGGGCCGUUACAAAAUUUGGCUAAAUGCUGGAAAAUACAAAAGCUUUCUGUACUUAUAUAAAUUAUAUUUAUAAAGUGAAAAUC